rnacentral:rRNA from 1 species
AGACGAACCGUACGAACGUUAUUCGGAAUUACUGGGCUUAAAGAGUACGUAGGCGGCUCGGCAAGUUGGGUGUGAAAUCCCUCGGCUCAACCGAGGAACUGCGCUCAAAACUGCCAGGCUUGAGGGAGAUAGAGGUGAGCGGAACAGAUGGUGGAGCGGUGAAAUGCGUUGAUAUCAUCUGGAACACCUGUGGCGAAAGCGGCUCACUGGGUCUCUUCUGACGCUGAGGUACGAAAGCUAGGGUAGCGAACGGGAUUAGAAACCCCAGUAGUCC